rnacentral:tRNA from 1 species
GGAGAGGUGCUCGAGUGGUUGAAGAGGCACGCCUGGAAAGCGUGUAUACCCCAAAAGGGUAUCGUGAGUUCGAAUCUCAUCUUCUCCGCCA